CUUUCAAUCUUUGAGUGGGAACACCUCUUGGGAUCACCCUUGGUAUCCCAAUUUUGAGUGGACAAUUUGUCUGAUCCACACAAUGUCAAUGCUAGAAUUAGUUU